rnacentral:rRNA from 1 species
CCGGAGUGGACGAACCUCUGGUGUUCCGGUUGUCACGCCAGUGGCAUUGCCGGGUAGCUAUGUUCGGAAGCGAUAACCGCUGAAAGCAUCUAAGCGGGAAGCGCGCCUCAAGAUGAGAUCUCCCGGGACACAAGUCCCCUGAAGGAACCAUCAAGACUAGGUGGUUGAUAGGUCAGGUGUGUAAGCGCAGCAAUGCGUUGAGCUAACUGAUACUAAUGAUCCGUGUGGCUUGACCAU